rfam:Bombyx mori DNA, contig: Bm_scaf29_contig18545, strain: p50T/Dazao, build 2, whole genome shotgun sequence.
UUAAAUCAAAUUUGUAUGGAGUUGGAACAUUCGCCUGCGUUUGCCGCUAGGGGCGAUUUUCCAACUGCAUAUAAAAUUGGACUA